GUGCUGGUUUCAGCAGCAUACAGACUAAAAUUGGAUCGAUCCGGAGAAGAUAACGCACGGUCCCUGCACAAGGAUGACACGCAAAUUCAUGAAGCAUUCCAUGUUUUC
rnacentral:snRNA from 1 species